GCCCUUAUAGCGUAGUGGUUAAGCGCUAUAGAGCCCUAUCUUAGUCUAGCAGGGAGCUGGUUUAAACCCGGCUAAAGACA
rnacentral:tRNA from 1 species